rnacentral:rRNA from 1 species
CCUACGGGAGGCAGCAGUAGGGAAUAUUGCUCAAUGGGGGAAACCCUGAAGCAGCAACGCCGCGUGGAGGAUGACGGUUUUCGGAUUGUAAACUCCUUUUUUUAGAGAAGUUAAUCACGGUAUCUAACGAAUAAGCACCGGCUAACUCCGUGCCAGCAGCGGCGGCAAUACGGAGGGAGCAAGCGUUACUCGGAAUCACUGGGCGUUAAGAGCGCGUAGGCGGGAUAGCAAGUCAGUUGUGAAAUCCUAUGGCUUAACCAUAGAACUGCAAUUGAAACUGUUAUUCUAGAGUAUGGGAGAGGUAGGUGGAAUUCUUGGUGUAGGGGUGAAAUGCGUAGAGAUCAAGAAGAAUACUCAUUGCGAAGGCGACCUGCUAGAACAUAACUGACGCUGAUGCGCGAAAGCGUGGGGAGCAAACAGGAUUAGAUACCCGAGUAGUC